GACGAGGGGGGCUAGCGUUGUUCGGAAUUACUGGGCGUAAAGCGCGUGUAGGCGGUUGCCCAAGUCGGGUGUGAAAGCCUUGAGCUCAACUCAAGAAAUGCACUCGGUACUGGGUGACUAGAGGACCGGAGAGGAUAGUGGAAUUCCCAGUGUAGUGGUGAAAUACGUAGAGAUUGGGAAGAACACCAGUGGCGAAGGCGGCUAUCUGGACGGUUUCUGACGCUAAGACGCGAAAGCGUGGGGAGCAAACAGG
rnacentral:rRNA from 1 species